CAAAAAAAAGUAUCAGCUUUGACAGCAAGUCAGAAACAGAACAAUUGAAAUUUUCGGCCAUGUCACCAGCAAAAUUACCUGCUAAAUACAAAACUAAUAACAACAACAUGUAGUGAGGUGCCCAUGGGAGAUCUCUAAGUACUCAGCAAAUAUGAAGUAUUCACAGACCGGACUCUGGUUGCUGCUUUGUCUACUGAUACAGGUGGUCGGCGCCCUCGCGUGCAAGAAGAAGUCGUCGUGCCGUCCGCCGCGCUGCCCGGGCGGCUGCAAGCCCAAGUACUGGUAGGAGCGACCAGCCUGCCCCGACUAACUAUUAUGGAGCCGGUUUCUCGGGUGUGGUCGGCGUGGGCGGUGUGGUGGUGGCUGGUGUGGCUGGUGGCGGCCGCGAGCGCGUGCAACAAGAAGACCAUCUGCCGCCCGCCGCCCGGGGGCAAGCCGGGCUGCGGGGGACGCGGGAAAUGAUUCAAUCGAGCCCCAAUCAGAAACAAGUGUUGUCAAGGUUUUGAACAUGUAUCUAUAGCGACAUUUACAGAACUUGACUUUUUAUCUAAUUUACAUUUCCAAAAAAAAUGUUAUUAACAACUUAAAAAUUAAUUGAAAUGU